rnacentral:tRNA from 1 species
GUUCUUGUAGUUGAANUACAACGGCAGUUUUUCAUAUUGUUGGUCUAGGUUAAAAUCCUGGCAGGAAUA